UCAGACAUUUGCCUCUGAACGGUUAAGCAUUAUACAGGCUCUUAAUGGUUUAGAUCUCUUACUCGUUCAGCACUUAAUGGUUUAGACCUCUUACUGGUUCAACACUUAACCAUUUAGAUGUUGCAAACAACCCCAAAGUUUAUACACCCUGAUUGUUUUUGUUUGUAGCAAUAUGGCAGUUUCUGACAACAAUAUUGAGUUGGUGAUGGUUGUUUAAGAUUUAGUUUGACUACUCGAUCCAACUGUGAGACCCCUUAUUUCAGAUGUUCUUAAACAAAAGCAAUCAAGAAAAAAAUUGUUGUUCAAGAUGCUCUUAAAGAAAAGGCAUGUGACUUGUCCAUUAUCGGUUGUAUGGACAACAAGUGUGAGAUUUAAAGGCCAAAUGAGCUCCCUCACCCAUCAGACGAGCCUUUUCAGAUAUGUGCUAUUUGGGUUGUAACUUGUAAUUUAUUAGGUGAUUGUAUUUUCCCUGUUGCGCGUGCUUGGUUAGUUAGACUUGGUUGUAUAUGUACGCUAUCUUGGUUCCAUUGACUACGGUCCAUAUCUUGCUUUG